rnacentral:rRNA from 1 species
UUGACCUCAAAUCAGGUAGGACUACCCGCUGAACUUAAGCAUAUCAAUAAGCGGAGGAAAAGAAACUAACAAGGAUUCCCCUAGUAACUGCGAGUGAAGCGGGAAAAGCUCAAAUUUAAAAUCUGGCAGUCUUUGGCUGUCCGAGUUGUAAUCUAGAGAAGUAUUAUCCGCGCUGGACCGUGUACAAGUCUCCUGGAAUGGAGCGUCAUAGAGGGUGAGAAUCCCGUCUUUGACACGGACUGCCAGGGCUUUGUGAUAUGCUCUCAAAGAGUCGAGUUGUUUGGGAAUGCAGCUCAAAAUGGGUGGUAAAUUCCAUCUAAAGCUAAAUAUUGGCGAGAGACCGAUAGCGAACAAGUACCGUGAGGGAAAGAUGAAAAGAACUUUGGAAAGAGAGUUAAACAGUACGUGAAAUUGCUGAAAGGGAAACGCUUGAAGUCAGUCGCGUUGGCCAGGGAUCAACCUUGCUUUUUUGCUUGGCUUACUUUCUGGUUGAUGGGUCAGCAUCAAUUUUGACCGGUGGAAAAAGUUCAAAGGAAUGUGGCAUCUUCGGAUGUGUUAUAGCCUUUGUUCACAUACAUUGGUUGGGAUUGAGGAACUCAGCACG